GUGUCAGCCGCCGCGGUAAUACGGAGGAUCCAAGCGUUAUCCGGAAUCAUUGGGUUUAAAGGGUCCGUAGGCGGUUUAAUAAGUCAGUGGUGAAAGCCCAUCGCUCAACGGUGGAACGGCCAUUGAUACUGUUAAAUUUGAAUUAUUAGGAAGUAACUAGAAUAUGUAGUGUAGCGGUGAAAUGCUUAGAGAUUACAUGGAAUACCAAUUGCGAAGGCAGGUUACUACUAAUGGAUUGACGCUGAUGGACGAAAGCGUGGGUAGCGAACAGGAUUAGAUACCCCAGUAGUCC
rnacentral:rRNA from 1 species